UACAGAGGUCUCAAGCGUUGUUCGGAUUCAUUGGGCGUAAAGGGUGUGUAGGUGGCGCGCUAAGUCGGGGUGUGAAAUUUCGGAGCUUAACUCCGAAACUGCAUUCGAUACUGGCGUGCUUGAGGACUGGAGAGGAGACUGGAAUUCAUGGUGUAGCAGUGAAAUGCGUAGAGAUCAUGAGGAAGACCAGUGGCGGAGGCGGGUCUCUGGACAGUUCCUGACACUGAGACACGAAGGCCAGGGGAGCAAACGGG
rnacentral:rRNA from 1 species